UUUUUUAAAUAUAUUAAAUAUAAUGAAUUGUGAUACAGAAGAAAAUGAAAAAAAAAUACAAAAUAUAUUGUAUAAAAAUAUAAAUAAAAAUGAGUUAAACAUAAUUUAUUUACCUUAUCCAUGUGUAAAUAUAAAUUUAUGUGAAACUACGUAUUCAGAUAUUGAUAAUAAUGAUAAUAAAAGAAACGAAAAUGGAUACGUUAAUAAGAUUAACCAUAAUAAUAUGUCUAAUGGUUAUACAUUAGACACAAUUAAUAUAUCAGAAACCAAAGAAUAUAAAUUCUACAAUAAACAACAAAAUUCUUAUUUUAAAAUGCUAAACUAUAUUUUAACAUUAAAUUUAGGUUGUGGAAAUUUAUUUAACAUAUUAUUAAAAAGUAUUUUAAGUGAAAAUAUAUAUUGUGUAAUUAAAUACUCUGAUUUGAUGAGACGUAACAAAUUUAGUGAACACAAUAUGUUAUAUAGUGUAGAUAAAGAACGAGAGAUGGAUGACAUACUGAAUAUAAAUUCCUUUAAAGAUAUUAUAUUAAAAGAUUUAAAACAUUUGAAUGAGUACGUUUCAGAUAUAGUAAUAAAAGAAGAUGAUGAGAAAGUAGUAAAAAAUAUAGACAAAUUAGUUGAUGAACUGAUAACAAAAGUUAAUAUAUUUUAUAAUGAUAUACAAAAAGAACAUUACGAUUUAACAGGGGUAUGGGAAUUGUUAACGGAAAUUUCAAGGAAAUAUGAAAUGGUACAAUAUUUAUAUGCUAGUUCAUUAUUUAGUCAUUUACACAAAAGGAAUAUAAAUUAUUCUGAACAAAUUAUGAAGAUAGUACAAUUAAAAAAUAUGACUACAGAGAGUAUAGAAAAGUUUAUAGAUUAUAUAAAUAAAAAUAAAAAAGAAUAUGAACUAAAAAAUUUCAAUUCCUCUACCAAUAUUAUAAAUAAAUUUAAAGAAAUCAUUAGAUCAUCACGUGAUAUAUUAAAAUAUAAUAAACCUGUAUUAUUAUGCGCAUUGAAGAGUAUAUGUGAAUACAUGAAACAUUGUGAUUAUAGAAAAUUGUACCUUAUUGUGUAUUAUCGGUUUGAUAAUGAUAUAAAAAAUUUGUUAAAAGAGGUAAAAUAUCAUCUUAAGAACCUAAAGAAAAAUUCAAUGAGUUAUAAAAAUAUGAUAAUGUAUUCAAAGGAGACGACAGAAGAUAUGCAUGAUAUAAAACAUAUAAACAGAAUAAAAAGAGGAGAGGCUAUAACAAUAUCUCAGAUUUACAAGUUAUUAAUAAAAUAUUUGUAUUAUUAUGUAAAAUCAGUGGAGUAUUUAAAAAGUAUCAUGGAACAAUUGAAUAAUGAUCAUAUAUCUUAUUGUAAGAUAGCAUAUGCACAUAUGGGUAACAAUUUUAACUUUAUACAUUGCAUUCUUGACAUUUAUGAAAAUUUUUAUGAAUUUUGUAAUUUAUUUAAAAAUGCAAAUAUAGGCU
rnacentral:lncRNA from 1 species